rnacentral:rRNA from 1 species
UACGAGGGGGGCGAGCGUUGUUCGGAAUUAUUGGGCGUAAAGGGCGCGUAGGCGGCCUUCUAAGUCGAACGUGAAAUCCCCGGGCUCAACCCGGGAACUGCGUCCGAUACUGGGAGGCUUGAAUCCGGGAGAGGGAUGUGGAAUUCCAGGUGUAGCGGUGAAAUGCGUAGAUAUCUGGAGGAACACCGGUGGCGAAGGCGGCAUCCUGGACCGGUAUUGACGCUGAGGCGCGAAAGCUAGGGGAGCAAACAGG